rnacentral:rRNA from 1 species
GACGAACGCUGGCGGCGUGCUUAACACAUGCAAGUCGAACGGAAAGGCCCUGCUUUUGUGGGGUGCUCGAGUGGCGAACGGGUGAGUAACACGUGAGUAACCUGCCCUUGACUUUGGGAUAACUUCAGGAAACUGGGGCUAAUACCGGAUAGGAGCUCCUGCUGCAUGGUGGGGGUUGGAAAGUUUCGGCGGUUGGGGAUGGACUCGCGGCUUAUCAGCUUGUUGGUGGGGUAGUGGCUUACCAAGGCUUUGACGGGUAGCCGGCCUGAGAGGGUGACCGGCCACAUUGGGACUGAGAUACGGCCCAGACUCCUACGGGAGGCAGGAGUGGGGAAUAUUGCACAAUGGGCGGAAGCAUGAUGCAGCAACGCCGCGUGCGGGAUGACGGCCUUCGGGUUGUAAACCGCUUUCGCCUGUGACGAAGCGUGAGUGACGGUAAUGGGUAAAGAAGCACCGGCUAACUACGU